AGGCCGGGUUUAAAGAAUAACCCCGCGCGCGUGGCUGAGUGUGCGCGAGCGCGUGUGACGUCGGGCGGCGCCAGGGCUCCACCGAACCGCCUCUCCCCACCCCCAUUCGGCUGUCCCCAGUCUGGGCCGAAACUGCUGACUGGCUGACCAAAGCUGUCACACUUGUCCUCUGGGGGUUUUGAAAACCCUAAAUCAAAGCUGGCUUUUCUGACAAGUCCCGAGCCUACGUCCGCGGCCUCUGGGCUGGACAGAUAAGGGGGUCAGUUCUCCCUCAGGUACUUGGCAGCCGGCCGCGAGACGCGCGGCUUCCCUGUCAGCUCUGUGCUUCCCCCGUUAUCGAUUCCCACGUGGUGUCGGCCGCGGGACCGCCGAGCGGAUUUGGCCGGGGCCGCGUCCGCCUUGGCGCUGUAAGCGGCGUUAGGGCCGCGGUGCGGGUCUUUAGGGCACCAGUUUAGCAGAUUUUCAAGUUCGAUUUUCUCGGACUCGGAUGAACCGGAUAGCCACUUCCGUUCUCCCUCCAACCACCCAGAAUUUUGAUAUGCUACAGUAAUAAAAUGGAAAUCAAAGAUCAUGAAAAGAUGAAGAUCAGAAGAGAAACAUGGAUGAUGAAAUCAUGGUAGUGGAAGAAUGGAUUGUUCUGCUUUUGGCACGAGUGAGAUCUUUACUUAAUGAAAAUCUCAAUGGAAUGUCACAUAUUGUUACAGCGGGCAAGUAAGUCUAUAGGAAAUAGAGAAGUCUAAACCUUAUGUUCUGAUAUCUGUUUUCUCCUAAAUUCUGCAAAUUUCAAAGAGCAAUUAAGAAAAUAUUAAUCUUGAUGUGAGUAAUGGGGGCUGUUUCUCACUACAAUUGUCUCUCCCUCCCUAAUUGGGGGAGACAGUCAUGAACAUGCACAGCCUGGAUGCCCUGCUCCAUAUGGGCUGAGCAGAUUGGGAUGGGUGUCAGCUUGCACCAGGAGUGACUGGAUGGAAGGGACAGUUGCCCUUGAUGAGCAGAACUGAAAUCAUCACUCAGGCAGUCACCAGUGAAAGCCUUGGGUGAAUACCUCUAAAACCCAAGUAUCCAUUUAAAACUAAUUACAUCUGACAUUGGAAACACACAUCAUGGAUCUCAUGUGGAUAACUUUCCUUUGAGGUCUACAGCAUUCACUGCUGUGCUGCAGAUGUGCUCAACUAAAAAUAUAAUAGGGAUGAUCCACAUCUUUGUAGUCAGACAAUGAGAACCAAUCAUGAGGAAUCAAGGAAUGGGGCAAAUCUACAAAUUCCAUAGUGGUGGAGGCUCUAUCAAUUCCCGCAAAAGUUUGUAAUAACACCCAGUCUGCCCUAAAUACACUCUCAUUUUGUUGCAAACCACCAGCAUCAUCUGUCAUGAUAUGAAGAAUUAUUCUGGGUUAAAGUGCUGCUUUUCUCUGAGAGCCUCCUUUUGGCAAUACUUGGGUUGUAUAUUCCUUGUUCUCUCUCCUGCCCUUUCACCCAACUUCAUUUUAACUACUACAAGUUGAAUCUUGGAAGGAGAGAUUGAAAUUCUGGGCUUUAAAUAACCUUUUCUGGUUAUUUCUGCCUCUCCCUAUAUAGACCCCUGUGGCAUUAUCAGGAAGGAAGUAUAUGUGUAUCUUUUCAGGCCAGUGGACUUCUUUCUCUUCAAGUGUGUUCAGAAAGCUUGUGCUAUUUACCCAAAGGAGCUCAGCAUCACUUGGCUCCCAUACCUGUCUACUGACCACUCUUGUGCUAUGGUUGUGACAUUAUUGGGUUUUGUGUGCAUCUAUCUUUGGACUCAGUUGCUGGACCUUUGUUGGAUAAUCUGAGCAGCUUUUACUUAAUGACUUAAAUCUUCAAUAUUAUAAGAUUUAACCUAAUCAUAACAAUUAGCUAAUGACUCAUGAAGUGAGGCUACAACUCAGAGAUUAUUGAAUUUGAGGAUGUUUCUUUUUUAUUCUUUAUUUUUUCAUUUUCAUUUUAAUUAAUUUUUAACAGGUUCGAUAUUAUUUGUAGAUAUAAAUCUAAGAAUAUAAUGACAUUCUCUGGGGAGUUUUUACAAGAGUAAUUAAUUGCCCCUUCCUAUCUGGAGGGGUGGUAGUACUAUUUCUCUUGAGGAUGAUGUAUGUGAGCUGUUAGUGAUUUAGUUAUUUAGGAAAAGUAAAAUUUUUCAUCUAUGCAUAAAUGCAAAUUUUAUGUACUUGGGUAUGCCUGAAGUUUAUACAUUGAUUCCAUUCAAUGACCUGGUCAGUCCAGUAUUAAGAUCUUUGCAAAAUUAUUUUUAAAAAGAAAGAAAGGAAAGAAGAAAGAAAACACUCUCCUUGUCAGUCCCCCCAAGGCUUCCUAAGUCUUAAAUUUGCUUUCCAUUAAGACAGUGGUUAGACAGCAGCUGUUGAGCCUCUUAAGAGAAUACACGAUAUGGUAAUAAACACUAUUUCAGAAAUAGGUUUUUACUAGGAAGCACAGUAAUGAGCCCUGCAUGUUCAGUAUACUUUUUACUCCAGACCCGAUUUUAAUGAGGGGGGCUCACUGCAAUUGGUUCACUCCCUACCUAGCAAAUGGAAAAGUUUGUUUUGUCUUUUCAAUUCCAGCCACCCCUGGUGAUGCAGCAUGUUGUAAAAAUGCUCUUUGAAGUUCAUGUGUCAUCCACUUGAAAGAAACACCAGAGGUCGGUGUGUGCUGACCCUCUCUCCAGUGGUGCUGGGUGUCCGGGUACCUCUGGGGAAGGUUCAGAUCUG